UUAAGUCAGAGACUAAGUCCAAGUAUACC
rnacentral:sRNA from 1 species